ACCGCCCAUGGAGAAGCCCACCAGGGUCACGUCCUGGAGGUCCAGGUGUUCGAUCAACUGGGCGAUA
rnacentral:tRNA from 1 species